GCCAACGUUGUUCAUAGACGUUAAUGAUUAAUGUAUGUUCUGAACCUUUUGGUCCGAUCCAGAUUCUCACAAAACCAAUGUGAUAAACCAGUCUUUUUCUACUCACGGCUAACACGAGAUAUAAUCUCAGGAAGCCUACAAUCACAACAAAGAAGGCAACAGUCAGAUUGAGAGCAUACAUGAUACAUGUACAGAUUCGCCGCAGGAAAAUAUAUGCCUACACAUACAUCACGUACAUCAAAAUAUAUCAAUAUCGUUCACAAGUUUAUAUUAACGAACAUUUUCUAGAAAAGCCUCCCCAUUGUGUGUAGUGUCCCAAGACCAAACUGCACUUCAGGGAUCUGCUAUGGUGAUCUUGACACGUGCUGCACGUGCUAUGCGCCAAUCGCUGAUCAACCCCAGAACCUCCUCUCCUUCGUACAUUGCAAGGUCUUCCAAAGACAGAUCUAAAGGUUGAGCCAGCCACACAAUACAAACAGUAUGCCUUCUCAGGGAUAGGGGCACAAGCUUAUACAUUAACAUAGAGCUCUUAGCUUUUAAAACUUUGGACAAACAUGUUACCGGGUGGUUUCUGCACUCUGGCUUUCAAAGGAAGGUUGAAGUUUAAAUUCCGAAUGAGAAACUAAAAAUUGUAUAUGUGCAGGUUUGCAGAAAGUGCAAGGGUAAGGGAAAUCAAGAACUCCAAACAUUUGCAGUUCUUCCAAACACACAAAAAAGAAGAAGCAGAAAACACGAUGAAAGGAACGGAGGAGAGCACAUUGUAUCAUCCAAAGUGCAUUUUUGUUUCUGAACUGGAGACGUUUCCUUUAUACACAGCCAGAUAAGCCAAUCUAAAUGAGACUGCUAACUAUUGUAUCCAUUUGCUAACAACCUUAACAGAAUAUACACUCGUAUUUUCUAUGGUA